GUCAGGACCUAUAGACAUUAAAAAUGGAAAGAAUUCUUGUACAGCAUAAUGCUUCCACAUAGCGGUAUCUAAAAAAUAUUCAUUGACUGACUGACCUGCCAUCUCUUCUACUACUACUAUGACCACCAAUGACAGGGACAAGGCAGCAGCUUUAAAGUUUCCUGACAAUGAGAGUCAAUGAGAAGCAACAACAAGGUGUAGUGGGUAUAGUUCUGGGCCUUGGAAACAGGAAGAACUCAGUUUGAAUUGGGCUUCAAACAUUUAUGAACUAUGUAAUCCUAGGACUGAUUGCUUCCCCAGCAUCCCAGAUUUGGAGUAGAGUGGGUCAUGCUUCUUAAUUCCAGCAAGAAGCUAAAUAUAAGUUAUAGUAAGGUCCAACCAUGGUAAGAACUAUCAGGACAGUGAAAGAAGAGCAACUACUUUUUACAUCAUUGAUCUAAUCCUUCAAGGAGUCCUGGAGAUACUCUGGCCCAAGCUCUUCAUUCUCCAGAUGGGGAACUAAGUACCAAAGAGAAGAAUUAACUUGUCUAACAUCACACAUUCACUAAGUGAUACAAGGAUCAUCAAAUGCAGAAAUAAGCUCCCAGUGUAAAGCCUAACCAAUAUUCCUAUAAAUUUCUAGAUCAUAGAACAGUAGGCUAUUCUAAUUUCUUUUUGUUGUUGUUGUUCUCCAUCCAUGAUGCAUCAGUGUACAAAAGUUCCU